rnacentral:rRNA from 1 species
GACAGAGGGUGCAAGCGUUGUUCGGAAUUACUGGGCGUAAAGCGCGUGUAGGCGGCUCUGCAAGUCGGAUGUGAAAUCCCACGGCUCAACCAUGGAAGUGCAUUCGAAACUGCAGGGCUAGAGUCCUGGAGAGGAAGGUGGAAUGCUUGGUGUAGAGGUGAAAUUCGUAGAUAUCAAGCGGAACACCGGUGGCGAAGGCGGCCUUCUGGACAGUGACUGACGCUGAGACGCGAAAGCGUGGGGAGCAAACAGG